UACGUAGGGGGCAAGCGUUGUCCGGAAUCAUUGGGCGUAAAGCGUGCGUAGGCGGCCCGGUAAGUCCGUUGUGAAAGUCAAAGGCUCAACCUUUGAACGCCGAUGGAUACUGCCGGGCUAGAGUCCGGAAGAGGCGAGUGGAAUUCCUGGUGUAGCGGUGGAAUGCGCAGAUAUCAGGAGGAACACCAAUAGCGAAGGCAGCUCGCUGGGACGGUAUUGACGCUAAGGCGCGAAAGCGUGGGGAGCAAACAGG
rnacentral:rRNA from 1 species